rnacentral:rRNA from 1 species
UACGAAGGGGGCUAGCGUUGCUCGGAAUUACUGGGCGUAAAGCGCACGUAGGCGGCUUUCUAAGUCGGGGGUGAAAUCCUGGAGCUCAACUCCAGAACUGCCUUCGAUACUGGAGAGCUCGAGUCCGGGAGAGGUGAGUGGAACUGCGAGUGUAGAGGUGAAAUUCGUAGAUAUUCGCAAGAACACCAGUGGCGAAGGUGGCUCACUGGCCCGGUACUGACACUCAUGAGCGAAAGCGUGGGGAGCGAUCCGG